UCCUUGCUCUUGGGUGGCCGCGGCGCCCGCUCGCUCUGAAUUCGCCGGGCAGAGAUACAGCCGCCCGGAGCCUCUUGCUCGUGCUUUGUUUUCCGUACCCCGCUUCCUAAAGGGUCUUUAGGGGUUCCCGGACUCCUCCGCCUGGGAGCCUCUAUCCGUCCCGCACAGCCCCCGGCAGGGCCAAGGGGAGGCUUCAUUGGCGACCUGGUGGGGCCUCGCGGCCCUGCUCCCUGACGUCAGCGCCGUCGCGGUCAUUUAACAGCUUUUGUUUUGGGCAGAAGAACGUGUGGGCACAAAAAGCAGGAUCGAGUAGCGGUGGGUGAAGAACGAGCAGGAGCUUGAAUUUCAGUUUUCUUAUGAGGAAUUUUCCAGAAAAGAUAUCUUCACUGUGAAAUAAGUAAAUAAAUGCUCACUCAGUACAACUGUGCCGAUGUAAUAGUAACAAAAAGUCUCAGCCUCAUUUAAGAUAAAAGGCCAUCAUCAGACAAUGCAGGACAGAUUGUAACAACAGGAAGUACUACAGAGAUUCAGAGAAUGCCAUAAAUAACCUUGGAAUCCUGUGCUUGGCUUUCCCUGAGCUCCAAACACAGAGCUGAGACUUCCACCUAAUGUAGAAAGCUAGCACGAGCCGGCGCUGACAGAUGGAAGACUUGAGAUGUUACAAGAUUAUAUAUGGAAACACAAAAGGUAAGGUUAAAAUCUGUUCAUUAGACUUAUUUCCUAACCUUUUAAUCACUCAUCACUUUGGAACAUUCUUGCAACUGAACUGAAUAAACUGGGAAGGUUUUUUGGGUAAUUCUACUAAUGCUUUCUUUUUUUUUGAGACAGGGUCUCACUCUUGUCACCCAGGCUGGAGUGCAGUGGUGUGAUCCUAGCUCACUGCAGCUAUGAUCUUCUGGGCCACGGCAAUCCUCCCACCUCAGCCUUCUGGUGGGACUCAAAGUGUGCCACCACAGCUGAUUUUUUUUUUUGGUAGAGAUGGGGACUCAUUAUGUUGCCCAGGCUGGUCUCAAACUUUUGGCCUCAAGGGAUCCUCCCACCUUGGCCUCCCAAAGAGUUUGGAUUAUAGGCAUGAGCCAACAUGCAUGGUCAAAUGCUUUUUAAACUAGUAAUUCACCUGUGUAUGGUUAUGUCAAAGAAAAAUACAAGGUUGCAUACGCUUAGAGAAAGUAAGGAAGUAACCCAUUACAUGUAUGUUUGUAAAUUUUGCUUAGGCCAUUGUUUUUUAUUUUCACCUUUGAAUUUCAAAGUAAAUUAGAGAUAUGUAAAUAACAGAAUUAUCAACAUUAAAAUCUUAUUCACAACAAUGGCUAACAAGAACAGGACGACGGUCAAGUCAGUAGCUUUUUAAUAAAAUGAGCAGAAUCCCAUCAUAACAGUUCUUUGUUACAUGAAUUCAAAUACACAGCAGACCAAUCAUGUUCCCUGAAAUUUAACAAUCAUACUUAAUAAAGCCCUGUUAGUGCUGUCCCUCAAGACUCUAAUUCUAAAGGGCUUCCUUUGAAUUCCCUUUAUAAAGCUUUGUGCAAAGAAGAGCUUAAGCACCAGUAAGAAAGACUGUUGCUAGCAUUUUUAUUUCAUCAUCAACAACAAACAUGCAGUUUCUUUCUCUGAUGUGCAUGGCACUGUAAAGUGGGUGCUACACUCUCUCGUGGUACAAAGUUUAUAAAUACAAUAUACUGAUACAAAGUUGAAGCCAUUAAAAAGAGCUUAAUAACAACUAUGAGGAGAUAAUUAAAUCUGGAGUGUUGAUGGAAUCUAUGAAGAGAUUUAGAAACAAGACAUAAACACUACGGUAAAAGUUUUACUUGGGAAGGGGCCAGAGGGGAACUUUUUAUGUGCUACUGAAAGAUUUUUUAAGUUGCUCCAAAUUUACUUUCUUUCUGCUAUUAUCUUUAAAUACUGCAAAGCAUUGUGAGCUGCAUCACUUUGUGCAUUGCCACAGGAGAUACCGGAGCCAUGACAGACCGUGAUGGGGCUGGUGGACAGUUCAGCAAGACAUUGAUAUUGUCCAUUGGCGCUCAGUUCAUCUGUAAUGACACAUUCAAGGAUGAUGAUUAAUGUCCAAUAUGUAUAAAGUGGAUCCCUUUGUAAAAACAAUAUAAUUCUUAUUAUUGUCUUUAUAUACUACACCACUCGCAAUCUUUGUUUUGCUUGUACAAACAAAAAACCACAACUGCUCAGCUGUAGCAGUUUUCAAACACGUUACACUUCAUAAUGAUCUGACAGCUUUAAAGACAUACAGAUAACUAGCUGCACUCUAGCUCACUCAAUCAGAAAUAUACGGUUGGGGGUGGCUGAUUCCUACACUUAAAAAAAAAGGCUCCCAAGGCAAUUCUAAUAUAGUUAGUUGAACACUAUUUGGAAAUUACUGAACCACACAGUAACUUUCUCAAAAGGGAAAGAACCAUUUGCUAGAGGACUGGAGAGAUUGUAUUUUCCACUAGGAAGUCAUUUUCAGGAGGCAUUUGAACCAGGAAUAACUUCGGUCAAGGCAAAACCUCCCUUGUGUCUUCUAUUAAAAAAAAAAAUGUUUAAUUGAGACAUAAUAAUUGUAUGUAUUUAUGGAGUUGUCCGUUCAUGUUCCUAGGUUUUAAGUCUGUGUAGAGUCUAGUUCUUUAUUUAUACUGCAAAUGGGUCACGGUAUUUUAAAAACAAUACCUGACCCAGGAAACAAACAUUCUUCCCAUCAACUGAUGAGCCACUCUUACUAAAGAUGGCUGAAAUGAGGGCAAAGAGGAAGAAAUAGAAACAUGUGCGGUAUGAUUUAUUUAAAGUAGGCAUAAUAAAAAUGUUAUUUUUGAUAUUCUAUUUAGUGGAAAAUAUCCAGAUACAAUGAGAUUAUUUAAUGAGUGAAGAGGCUUUCUAGUUCUAGUAUCUAGGUUCUUUUCUCCUGACCUUCCAGCCUCUGCUUGAGGCUCAUCCAUGUUGUAGCAUGUAUCAGAACUUCGUUUCUUUUUACAGCUGAAUAGUAUUUCAUUGGAAGGACAGUCCACAAUUUGUUUAUCCACUUAUUCAUUGAUGGAUGUUUUGGGCUGUUUCUACCUUUUGGCUUUUGUGAAUAGUGCUGCUAUGAAUAUACAGAUAUCUGUGUGUAUAGGCAUUUGUUUAAAUACCAGUUUUUGAUUUAUACUCCUAGGAGUGGAGUUUCUGGGUCAUAUGGCAAUUCAUUUGAGGAACUGAGAAGCUUAUUCCACAGAGGCUGAACUGUUUUAUAUUCCCACCAGCAAUGUGUAAGGUUCCAGUUUCUCUACAUCAUCACCAACACUUGCUAUUUUCCAUUUCCUUAAUGACAGCCAUCCUAGGGGAUUUGAAGUGGUACCUUAUCGUGGUUUUGAUUGCAUUCUCUAUUGACUAAUGAUAUUGAGCAUCUUUUCAUGUAUUUUUUGGUCAUUUGGUCAUUUUUCUUUUUUAAUUUUAAAAUUUUGAGACAGGCUCUCACUAUGUUGCCCAGGUGGUCUCAAACUCCUGGGUUCCAGCGAUCCUCAUGCCUCAGUCUCCCAAAGGGGUGGGAUUACAGGUGUGAGCCACUUUGCCCAGCCCAUUUGUAUAUCUCCUUUGGAGAAUAUCUAGGUUCUUUUGAAGGUAGCUGCAUAUAAACUAGCCAAAUUAACAGACUGUGGUUUUUAGACGGCUUUCCAUAUCUACGAGAACUAUUUAGUUCUCAAAACUGGGAAAUGUUUCAGAGGCAUCAUUAAUUCAUAAUCUAAAAAUUUAUCUCAGGUUUCCUUUUUUCCCCCAGAUUCUGUAUCCUCCAUAGUCCUAUUCAUGACAUGGGUCGUUCAUCUCUGUAUUCUAAACCCUCAACAAACUGUAGACACUAAUAAAUAUUUAUUGGAUGAAUGGUCUCUCAUCAGCCACCUUUUUUUUUUUUUUUUUUUUGAGACAGAAUCUCGCUCUGUCACUCAGGCUGCAGUGCAGUGGUGCGAUCUCGGUUCACUGCAACCUCCGCCUCCCAGGUUCAAGCGAUUCUCCCACCUGAACCUCCCAAGUAGCUGGGAUUACAGGUGCACGCCACCUUGUCUGGCUAAUUUUUGUAUUUUUAGUAGAGACAGGGUUUCACCGUGUUGGUCAGGCUGAUCUCAAACUCCUGACCUCAGGUGAUCCGUCCGCCUUGGCCUCCCAAAGUGCCGAGAUUACAGGUGUGAGCCACCGCACCCGGCCUCCAGCCUCUUUUCUUUUUUUUUUUGAGACAAGUCUCACUCUGUCACCCAGGCUGGAAAGCAGCGGCAUGAUCAUGGCUCACUGCUGCCUCAACCUCAGGGGCUCAAGUCAUUGUCCCCACCUCAGCCUCCCUAGUAGGCUAGACUACAGGCAUGUGCCACCACACCUGGCUAAUUUUUCAUCAGCUACCUUUUCUAACCAUCUGUCUGCACUGACUUCCCAGGUUCUGCAUCAUUAUUGGUUUACUGAGACAACGCACUUGACCCAUCCUUCAAUCCCAAAGUAGCACAGAAUAUCAGGAGUUCUUUGAGCCCCUAAGUGCCCUACUUUCCCAGGGUCAGGGGACCCUGACAAGCAAGGUCCCCACAUCUUUCUGUGGUUGGAUAGGGAUAUAAAAUUUCUCACACAUGUUAAAUCAAGAUACUUUGGCCAGGCAUGGUGGCUCACACCUCUAAUCCCAGCACUUUGGGAGGCUGAGGUGUACAGAUCACUUGAGGUCAGGAGUUCGAGACCAGCCUGGUCAACAUGGUGAAACUCCUAUCUCUACUAAAAAAAAAAAAAAAAACUUUGGGAGGCCGAGGUGGGUGGAUCAUGAGGUCGGGAGUUUGAGACCAGUCUGGCCAACAUGGUGAAACCCCGUCUCUACUAAAAAUGCAAAAAUUAGGUGGGCGUGGUGGCACACACCAGUAGUCCCAGCUACUCAGGAGGCUGAGGCAGGAGAAUUGCUUGAAGCUGGGAGGCAGAGGUUAUAGUGAGCUGAGAUCACGCCACCGUACUCCAGCCUGGGCAACAGAUCAAGACUCCAUCUCGGGUAAAAAAAAAAAAAAAAAAAAAAAAAAUUAGCCAGGCGUGGUGGUGGAUGCCUGUAUUCCCAGCUUCUUGGGAGACUGAAGCAGGAGGAUCGCUUGAACCCAGGAGGCAGAGGUUGCAGUGAGUUGAGAUUGUGCCACUGUACUCCAGCCUGGGCAACAGAAACAAGACUCCGUGUCAAAAAAAAAAAUCAAGACACCAAACACACACAACUAAUUAGCUUUAUAAAUUGAAUUAAAAGAAAAUCCAUAUUGACUUGCUUUCCCAUCUGUUCAUAUUUGUCUAUCCAAAUGAUUAAGGGCUAGAGAAAAUACAGAUGAUGAUGGCUGAGAUGGGAUAAAACUAUAAAUUGACUUGGUUCCAUUUACCUCCCAGAAUCAGCAUACAGUGACAAAGUAGAGAGAAAAGGUCUGGGUACCACAAACUUGGUACUUGUGCUAGAAAUGUAGGUGCCUUUUCAUUUGCCCAGCAGGGCUAGUUUAACAGCCAGGGUAUCUUCUGGGACUCUUCCCCAAAUCUUGCUCUACCACUGACUAGCUAUGUGAUCUUGGGCAAGUUUCUCAACCUUUCUGUGCCUUUCUUUCUUCACUUAUAAAUAAGGAUAACAGAAUUUGCUUCAUAGAGUUAGUCUGAGGAUUCAGUAAGUAGAUACGUGUAAUCUUAGAACAGUGUCUGGCACAUAGUAAAACUCUAUCUUUGCUAUUGUUGUUUUGUUGUAACUGUAUAGAUGUUAGCUAUUAUUACUAUCCACAAGAAUGGGACAUAUCAAUUAUAUAUAUUACUGGCCUAGUAAUUAUAUAUACUUAGAAUCCCUGAUCAAUACAAUAAAUUAUAAUAGAAAUUUUUGUUCCUCAAACACAUUUUUAAAUAAACAUGUCUUGGGAAAGCCAAAGAAAAAAAAAUCAUACCUAUAUCCAAAUAUGUUAUAUUAAAACCUUGUUCCUUGGCAAUUUCACUAAGCAGCUGGAUGUAAUCUGUAUUUGGAAUACUAAGGAGGCUUCUUUUCAGUAAGUUGAUCUUUUCACCAGGAGAAUUCCUCAAGGAAUGCCAAGUACAUCCUAAAGAAUGUCCUACUACAUUUGUCUGAAAAACAGAGAUGAACAUUUAGACUCUUGACUAGGACUGGGUUCCAACACCAGUACCACUAUAAUUAAAAGUACUUAUUAAGCACUCACAUUUAAUAUGUUAUAAAGCAUGUUUAAAUGGAUAACAUUUGGUUAAUUUUCCAAUUUAAACAAGACAACAUUAAAAAGUACACAUUUAACAAUACUACAAAAUAUGUUUUUAAGAAGCACUUGCAAUAAUAUACUGAAAGCAUUUUGUAUUUUGUAUAGUAUAAAUGUUUCUCAGUCGAGUUUUCUGAUGGUCACAUUAAGAGGUACAAGAUAUUUGGGAGCACCAUAAGUAAAUCCACAAAUAAUUAAAUCUGCCUAAUGGAGCAAUUUGCAGAUUAAAAUAUAAAACAAUUUUCAUAUCUUUGGUUUUUUUGUAUUAAAUACCAAUCACUAUAACUGACAGCUAUAAAACAGGAAAAAAAAAAAACUAAAAAAAACAUGAAAUGUGCAAGUUGGGUUUGAGGAACAAGUCAUUCAAAUAAAUGACAGGAUGUCAAAAAGUUCUUAUCAGACUUCUAUCCCAGAACCCAACUGAGUAUUUUUUUCCUUAUUCUUUCUGCUUUUUCUCUUUCCUUUAUUCUCCCCUUAUAUCCUUCCCUUUUCAUCUCUGUCCUUAGAAUGCCUUAUAUUUCCAAAUUAGUUUAUGGUUCUCAAAUUGCUUUCAUAUGCCAUUAAUAAAAACAACUACUUUCUGAAGUAAGUAGGUUGCUACUCUUAAUAUUGUUUUAUUAAUGAGCACGACAGAGGGGAGGCAAUUUCCAAAAGAGUUUAGAGAUGGCAUGAUAUGGAAUUAAGUAAUUUUAGAUUUACCAAAUAAAAAUUUACAUUAUAGAAACUUUAAAAUACUGUUUUUAAAUAAAUUAAAAAACACUAUUUACAUGGUUAAAAAAAUACAUGCACUAAGAACAAAUAUAUAAUGAAGAGUACAGUCUCUUUUCCUUACCACCCAUUCCCUGAAGACCUCCGUUCUAUUUCUUAGACAUACUGUUAAACAUUUUUCAGUAUCUUCCCAUAAAUGUUCUAUGCAUAUGCAAGCACCCACAAUCUUUUAAAGCAAGUGAUAACUUACUCCUCUACAUCUUGUUCAUUUUUCUUUUAUCAGUGCACAUAUAUGCACUGUAUUUACCUUAUGGAUCUCCAACUGUGAGCUUUAGGUUGUUUCUGGCUUCUUGCUUUUACUAGCAAAUAAACACUCUUUUGCACUUGAAUGAGUUUCUCUGUAGAAUUAUUUCUAGAAGUGGAACUGCUAAGUCAAAGAACAUGUACACUUUUAAUUUUGAUGAAUACUUCCAAACUGAUUUCUGAACCAAUUUAUACUCCUACCAACUGUCUUCAAGGGGGCUUGUUUUCUCAUACCCUCACUAAUACUAGCUAUUAUCAAAUUUUGUAGUUUUUGCCAAUCUAAAAGGUGAAAAUAUUUUAUCUUGCAUGAAUAAAGUUGAAUAUUUUUUCUUUUUUUCCCUUAAUCGUUUGCAUUUCUUUUACUGGGUUGUCUUUUUAACUGAUGCACAAAAGCUUUUUAAAUUUUCUCUUUUUUAAGAGUUAGGAUCUUGCUGUGUGGCUUAACUCUCAAACUCUUGGGCUCUAGCAAUCCUCCCACCUUAGCCUCCCGAGUAGCUAGGACUAUAGGCAUGUGCUGCUGUAUGCAGCAGAUGUGUACAAAAGAGCUUUAAAGGUAGUACUGAAAACAGUUCCUUUAUAGUUCUAUGUUGAAAAUAAUUUCUUCCCACUUUUUUAUUCUCUUGAUUUUAUUUACAGAUUUUUUGCCGUGCAGUAGGUUUUAUAUUGUCAAAUUUAUUAAUCUUUUAACCUUCUAGGUUUUAAGUUAAAAUGCUUUCCCCAUGCUACGAUUUUUAAAAAGAAAAACUCUUCCAUGUUUCCUAAUACUUAUACUGUUUCAAAAUUUUAUGUUCAAAUCUUUGAUCCAUCUGAAAUUUACUUUGGUGUAAGGAAUAAGGAAGCAUUCUAAAUAGAUGUCAUACACAUAAACAAAUAUAUAUAUAUAUAUAUAUAGCCCCCACCCAAAUGUGGAUGUAAACCGUUUCUACAUCAUUAUUGAAUAAUCCAUCCUCUCACCCACUGAUCUGAAAUCUCACUGUUGCUAUAUACUAUGGUCCUAUGUGGAUUAGCAUCUACACCUGGAUUCUCUAUUCGCUCCUCUGACUAUUCCUGGCCCAGUAACUUGUCUGACAAGUUCAGUUUUACAGUAUGUUUUGUUCUCUGGUAAAGCAGCACACCCUUGCUCUCCCAACUCUUCCUUUUCAGUUUUCUUGGCUAUUCUUGAGGGUUUUUUUCCAGAUAAACUUCAAUAAACGUGUAUCAAGGUCCAAAAUGAACGCUGGUAGGUUUUUUUAUUUUUUUCGAGUUGGAGUCUCGCUCUGUUGCCUAGGCUGGAGUGCAGUGGUGUGAUCGCUGCUCACUGCAAGCUCCGCCUCCCGGGUUCACGCCAUUCUCCUGACUCAGCCUCCGGAGUAGCGGGGACUACAGGCGCACACCACCAGGCCCGGCUAAUACUUUUUUUUUGUAUUUUUAGUAGAGACGGGGUUUCACUGCGUUAGCCAGAAUGGUUUCUAUCUCCUGACCUCAUGAUCUGCCCACCUCGGCCUCCCAAAGUGCUGGGAUUACAGGCGUGAGCCACUGUGCCCGGCCAAACGCUGGUAGGUUUUGAGUGAGACCACAUUACAUUUAAAUAUAUUUACAAUGUUUUCUGCUCUAUUCUUUAGUAGACUUUUCCUCACAUGGUCCUGCGCAUUUCUUUUUAAGUUUAUUUUCAGAUAGCCUAUCCCUGUUUCUGCAAUUUAAAUUUAAAUUGGGAUCUUCUAUAUUCUAGUUAUUAUUUGUAAAUAAGAAAACUACUGAUUUUUUUCUAGUAUAUUUUCUCAGAAUAGGAUUUUCUGUUUUUCUAUAAAAUGACCAAUGUUAUCAAGCUUCGUAAGUUUUGUCAAAGUGAUACACACAUACAGCAAAAAAUCAAACAGUACAGAAGUAUAAAAGCAACAACCUCUGCCUUGCCCCUUCUCCACCUUCAGGUCCCCUUCCCAGAUACAAUAAUUUUUAGCUUUUUAUAAUUGUUCUGGUUGUUACCUACAUAACUCUGGGCAAUAUGGAAAAGUUAUUGAUUUUAUAUAUUAAUUUCAUAAUCAGUUACCUUGAUGAAUUCUCUUAUUGUUUCUGGUAGUUUUUCUUUAGGGUUUUAAAGGGAUACAAUCAUAUCAUUUGCAGUUAGUAACCAUUUUAUGUCCUCUUAUUUCCAACUUCCUACUGUUUUCUCUUGUCUAAUUUGUUUUUAAUUGGUGGGUACUUCUAGAACAAGGUUAAAUAAAAGUGGUGUUGGUAGGCGUCCUUAUUUCUGAUAUUAAUGGGAAUAAGUAUAAUGUAUAAAUAUAUAACCAUGAUUUUGGUUUUUUUCCAAGUUUUUAUCAGUAAUGAUUGCUGAGUUUUAUCAAAAUUUUUUUGGCAUCCAUUGAGAAGAUUAUAUAUUACUCUUUGACACAUUAAUGUGGUUAAUUAAAGUAACCAACUUACUAACCUUGAAAUAGUCUUACAUUAGUUAAAUAAACCCUACUUGUCAAUGCUAUAUCAUUAUUUUAAUAUUGUACUGAACAUUUCACAAAGGUGUUUCACCAUAAGGCAUAUUGAUCUGUAAUUUUUUUUUUUUCUGUUGAACUUGCUAUUGUCAGGUUUUGGUGUUUGUAUUAUGUUGGUUUUGGAGAAUAAAUUUAAAAGUUUCCUUUAUGUUAUCUAUACAUUGCCUGAAAACAGUUUAAAUAGCAUUGGAAAUGAUCUCUUCUUUGAAGAUUUGACCAAUUUCACCUGUAAACCUAUCUGUGCUUUGUAAUUCUGGUGAUAUUGUUGACUCAAAUUCCAAAAGCAGUAAAUGCAGUGUUUUGUAUUUUUCUAUUAAAAAUGUAAAAUCAAAUUAUAUUA